rnacentral:piRNA from 1 species
UGCCACAGUACUAGUCAGGUCCCU